CCCUUAGACGUUCUGGGCCGCACGCGCGCUACACUGACGAAGGCAACGAGCUACUCUUCACCGAAAGGUGUGGGUAAUCUUUUGAAACUUCGUCGUGCUGGGGAUAGAUCCUUGCAAUUUUUGAUCUUAAACGAGGAAUUCCUAGUAAGCGCAAGUCAUCAACUUGCGUUGAUUACGUCCCUGCCCUUUGUACACACCGCCCGUCGCUACUACCGAUUGAAUGGUUUAGUGAGGCCUUCGGAUCCGCGACUCGUUUGUGGAGAAGUUGGACAAACUCANUNAUUUAGNGGAAGUAAAANUCGUANCA
rnacentral:rRNA from 1 species